rnacentral:rRNA from 1 species
GAUGAACGCUGGCGGCGUGCCUAAUACAUGCAAGUCGAGCGAACAGACGAGGAGCUUGCUCCUCUGACGUUAGCGGCGGACGGGUGAGUAACACGUGGAUAACCUACCUAUAAGACUGGGAUAACUUCGGGAAACCGGAGCUAAUACCGGAUAAUAUAUUGAACCGCAUGGUUCAAUAGUGAAAGACGGUUUUGCUGUCACUUAUAGAUGGAUCCGCGCCGCAUUAGCUAGUUGGUAAGGUAACGGCUUACCAAGGCCACGAUGCGUAGCCGACCUGAGAGGGUGAUCGGCCACACUGGAACUGAGACACGGUCCAGACUCCUACGGGAGGCAGCAGUCGGGAAUCUUCCGCAAUGGGCGAAAGCCUGGCGGAGCAACGCCGCGUGAGUGAUGAAGGUCUUCGGAUCGUAAAGCUCUGUUAUUAGGGAAGAACAAAUGUGUAAUUAACUAUGCACGUCUUGACGGUACCUAAUCAGAAAGCCACGGCUAACUACGUG